UAGUUGCCGUCUUCAGGAUCUGUGA
rnacentral:piRNA from 1 species